rnacentral:rRNA from 1 species
CCUACGGGGGGCAGCAGUGGGGAAUAUUGGACAAUGGGGGCAACCCUGAUCCAGCCAUGCCGCGUGUGUGAAGAAGGCCCUCGGGUUGUAAAGCACUUUCAGUGAGGAAGAACGCCUGGUGGUUAAUACCCAUCAGGAAAGACAUCACUCACAGAAGAAGCACCGGCUAACUCCGUGCCAGCAGCCGCGGUAAUACGGAGGGUGCGAGCGUUAAUCGGAAUUACUGGGCGUAAAGCGCGCGUAGGUGGCUUGAUAAGCCGGUUGUGAAAGCCCCGGGCUCAACCUGGGAACGGCAUCCGGAACUGUCAAGCUAGAGUGCAGGAGAGGAAGGUAGAAUUCCCGGUGUAGCGGUGAAAUGCGUAGAGAUCGGGAGGAAUACCAGUGGCGAACGCGGCCUUCUGGACUGACACUGACACUGAGGUGCGAAAGCGUGGGUAGCAAACAGGAUUAGAUACCCCGGUAGUC